GUCGAGAAUCAUUCACAAUGGGGGAAACCCUGAUGGUGUGACGCCGCGUGGAGGAUGAAGGUCUUCGGAUUGUAAACUCCUGUCAUGUGGGAGUAAAGCCGGGUGUUAAAUGCAUGCCGGUCUGAGAGUACCACAAGAGGAAGGGACGGCUAACUCUGUGCCAGCAGCCGCGGUAAUACAGAGGUCCCAAGCGUUGUUCGGAAUCACUGGGCGUAAAGGGUGCGUAGGCGGCGCGGAAAGUCAGGGGUGAAAUCCCGGAGCUCAACUCCGGAACUGCCUUUGAUACUCCCGCGCUUGAGAACUGGAGGGGAGACCGGAAUUCACGGUGGAGCAGUGAAAUGCGUGGAUAUCGUGAGGAACACUAGUGGCGAAGGCGGGUCUCUGGACAGUAUCUGACGCUGAGGCACGAAGGCCAGGGGAGCGAACGGGAUUAGAAACCCGUGUAGUCC
rnacentral:rRNA from 1 species